rnacentral:sRNA from 1 species
GCUGGGUGCAGUGGCCACACCUGUAAUCCCAGCAGCUCAGGAGGCUGAGACAGGAGGAUCACGAGUUCAAAGCCAGCCUCAGCAAAAGUGAGGCACUAAGCAAUUGGGAGACUCUGUCUCUA